UCUGAGUGGGUCAUAUGUUUCACUGUGAGUCCUCUCGAAUCAUUCUAGCCUUCUGUAAGUAACCAGAUUGGUGUGUCUAGCAAUACAGAAAGCAGAAACAUUAUUCAAAGGCAGCAAUAAGGAAAAAAUGAAAUGUCUGAACAUUCUUUCCCUUUUGACUGGACAGAACCUACCAACCUUUAAGGCUUCAGUUUCACAGGUGCAAAAGGAGGAUAUGGAAUUAAUAAUAAUGACGAUGAUGAUGACUGCAUUUGAACAGAACUUGAAGAGUUCUCAUCCCUCAUCUUGUCUGAUCCUCACAGCAGUCCUGGGAGGAUAAAUAAUCCUCUGUCCCCAUCACCACUACUGCUGAACUGGAAGAUGGCCACUCAAGAAUGGGUACCAUUUUGUAUUUUUUGUUUAUUUGUUUUAUGCAUUGUCAAGACCAAAAAUUUAUUUGGAGUGGCCAACCUACUGUAAUGAGCCUCUUCACUUGUACCUAGGCAGAUCCAUGGACCAUAGUUGUUGAAGUCUUUCCAGCACAGUGUAACUUGCCUGAGUUCAGCUCUACCAGCACGGCCUUAGAGAGUCUAGAAUUACCUCUACAAUAAGGUAGUUGA